AGUGUUUUACUAAUGCUGGUACCACUAGUUUGUAUCAGAGCUGAUAUAGACUAUAUUUUAUACAUUCCAUGGAUGUGUACUUAGUUAGUCCCACCGCAUUGACUGUAGACCAAUAAUGUGACAUAUUGUACCUGUUUAGAAAUAAAUAACGCUUCCUCAGCAUCGUGUGUGUAGAACCACACCAUGGUAUAGACUACCAUUCCAGAGUUAUCUAUCAAACAUUCCAUAUUGAUCACAGUUCUGUGAAGUAUUAAGUAUCAAAUUAAAGAAUGCAUAAAACAUGAAUAGGAAUGGCUAAACUAUAGAGCUGCCAGUUGGCCAUGUUACAACUUGCGUAAAUGUUCUGUUUAUAUUAGAGAUUUACAGAUCUGAUUAAAUGUGUUCAACAUUAAUGAUGUAGACUUGUUUGCAAUGGAAGUAAUAUUCCUACAUGUAAAGCUAUUUAUUAAAGCCAAUCUCUCUC
rnacentral:misc_RNA from 1 species